GGCAGUCCCAUCCUAGUUUACAUUUAGAUGAGGCCCAGCUCUCAGAGUUCCCUGGGAAAUGUCACCUCUUGGCCCCAGAAGAUUCCCCAAAGCACAAAAGCUGAGAUGAUGGUCCUGGUUUUCCACAAGAUACAGCUGAUACCUGGGUCCUGAACAGGACACAGGUCUGUAAGCAACAUUUGAACAUAGGGGAAGGCUUUGCAGGUGUCAGCUAAAGGACUUUCCCUCUGCGAAGCUGUGAUUCUCUGAAGUGGCCAAAGAAAUUAUGCAGUAAGGGACCCUUUCCAGUUUUCAUCCUGGGUGUUUCUGAACAGGAACAUAUCUCAUUGAAGUAUUUGCACCUCUACCUACAGACAAGGAAAAGGCUUGGAGCACCUCCAUUCAUUGUGCCAACAGGACCUGAAUGACCGCUGCUCCAUUGUUCUGGAAUAGCUCAUGGCUUCUAGCACCUCUA
rnacentral:lncRNA from 1 species